rnacentral:tRNA from 1 species
UCCCUGGUGGUCCAGUGGCUAAGACUCCGUGAUCUAAGCACAGAGGGCCUGGGUUCGAUCCCUGGUCAGGGAA